rnacentral:RNase_P_RNA from 1 species
AUUGAAUAGUUGCUGGUAAAUUUCGAAAGGAAUUACGAGAGGAAAGUCCGGGCUCCAUAGAGCAAAGAUGCUAGAUAACGUCUAGUGAGGGAAACCUUAAGGAAAGUGCAACAGAAAAUAACCGCCUCUUAAUUUAUGGUUAACCACUUAAGAGGUAAGGAUGAAAAGGCGAGGUAAGAGCUCACCGCUGGUAUGGUGACAUACUGGGACAGUGUAAACCCCAUCUGGAGCAACACCUAAGUAGAAGAUUAAGUCUGCUCGGCAACUUCUGAAUUGCGUGGCUUGAGACAUAUAGUGAUAUAUGUACUAGAUAAAUGACUAUUUUAAAUGACAGAACCCGGCUUACAGAUUUACUUA